rnacentral:rRNA from 1 species
CCUACGGGAGGCUGCAGUGGGGAAUAUUGGACAAUGGGGGCAACCCUGAUCCAGCCAUGCCGCGUGUGUGAAGAAGGCCCUCGGGUUGUAAAGCACUUUCAGUGAGGAAGAACGCCUGGUGGUUAAUACCCAUCAGGAAAGACAUCACUCACAGAAGAAGCACCGGCUAACUCCGUGCCAGCAGCCGCGGUAAUACGGAGGGUGCGAGCGUUAAUCGGAAUUACUGGGCGUAAAGCGCGCGUAGGUGGCUUGAUAAGCCGGUUGUGAAAGCCCCGGGCUCAACCUGGGAACGGCAUCCGGAACUGUCAAGCUAGAGUGCAGGAGAGGAAGGUGGAAUUCCCGGUGUAGCGGUGAAAUGCGUAGAGAUCGGGAGGAAUACCAGUGGCGAAGGCGGCCUUCUGGACUGACACUGACACUGAGGUGCGAAAGCGUGGGUAGCAAACAGGAUUAGAUACCCGAGUAGUC